CUGGGAUUACAGUAUGCACCACCACGCCCGGCUGCCCUAAAGCCUCCUGUACAAUGCCAAAUGGAGCCUCUGAGGAGCCCACAGCCUCCUGCUGCUCCCCACAUUCUGAGCUGGGCAGAGGCUGAUGUGGGCCRGCACCGUGUCACCGCUCUGCAGGCUGUCACACAGGUGCUUCAGGCCGGCCCCUGCCCCACACCUCUUGCUUGACUCUAAGAGUUGGGUUUCUCCCAGGGAAGACACGGCAAGAGUUCAGCCAUUUGGAGCUUAGGACCUGCCUGGGUCCAAAUCCCCAGCUUCCAAUUACCUGCUGGGCACAUGGCUCCCCUUCUUGGUGCCUCGGUUUCCUCAUCUGUAACUGGAGGAUACAGAUAGGCACUGGAAGUCUGAGAGAAGAAUGGAGUCUCUGAGACAGGUAGAACGUAGACUAGGACCUGGGCCAGAAGAGGUGCCCAGUGCUUCUGAAUCCGGAAGCCACAGCGUAGCCUGCAAGCCCUCGUGAGCUGCCCCCAUCCCAUCUCCUCCCACGACUUCCUUUCCCUCUUCCUCCCUCCCACCAGCCACAUGCCUCCUUGAUUCCCUUCUUUGUUUCCCCUUAGAUACUGGGAUUGAACCUGGGGGCUGUACCACUGAGCUACACCCCCACCCCCAGCCCUUUUUAUUUUUUUAUUUUAACACAGGGACUCGCUCUCACUAUUUUGCUCAGUCUGGCCUUGAACA